rnacentral:rRNA from 1 species
CCUACGGGAGGCAGCAGUGAGGAAUAUUGGUCAAUGGACGAGAGUCUGAACCAGCCAAGUAGCGUGAAGGAUGACUGCCCUAUGGGUUGUAAACUUCUUUUAUAAAGGAAUAAAACGCGGCACGUGUGCCUUUUUGCAUGUACUUUACGAAUAAGGAUCGGCUAACUCCGUGCCAGCAGCCGCGGUAAUACGGAGGAUCCGAGCGUUAUCCGGAUUUAUUGGGUUUAAAGGGAGCGUAGAUGGGUUGUUAAGUCAGUUGUGAAAGUUUGCGGCUCAACCGUGAAAGUGCAAUUGAUACUGGCAGUCUUGAGUACAGUUGAGGUAGGCGGAAUUCGUGGUGUAGCGGUGAAAUGCUUAGAUAUCACGAAGAACCCCGAUUGCGAAGGCAGCUUACUAAACUGUGACUGACAUUGAUGCACGAAAGUGUGGGUAGCAAACAGGUUUAGAUACCCGAGUAGUC